UAAACUGCCAAUAACUAAGUCAAUAUUAACUAUUAACUCAAAAACAGAAAAUUAAUGUAAAACAUUUAUAUCGAAUAGACCUGCACUUCGAGUUAUAGUUCGAAUAUGCAUUAAAAAGUACGGAAUUCCAUUUAAACAAAUGCUUUGAACAUGAAAAUUUACUUAUGAAAGACUCACCUUUGAUCAGUUCCAUUACCACACAAUGUCGACUGAGGUCGUAAGGUUGAAGCACCGGAAACUGGCGAUCAUGCAGGACUUUCAUACAAGCGAACUCCUUGGUCGCUGAUCUGGCAGACAGGUUCAGCCAGGAAGCAGACUUUCUGUGGAAAUU